rnacentral:rRNA from 1 species
UACAGAGGCCUCAAGCGUUAGGCGGAAUCACUGGGCUUAAAGCGCGUGUAGGCGGACCGUUAAGUACCUUGUGAAAUCCCACGGCUCAACCGUGGAACUGCUGGGUAUACUGGCGGUCUUGGGCCACUCAGGGGUUGCCGGAACAAGCGGUGGAGCGGUGAAAUGCGUAGAUAUCGCUUGGAACGCCAAAGGUGAAAGACAGGCAACUGGGAGUGCGGCCGACGCUGAGACGCGAAAAGCCAGGGGAGGCCAAAGCGGGAUUAAGAAACCCGGGGGUAGUACCCAGACC